GUGAGGAAUAUUGGUCAAUGGACGCGAGUCUGAACCAGCCAAGUAGCGUGAAGGAUGACUGCCCUAUGGGUUGUAAACUUCUUUUGUUAGGGAAUAAAGUGCACCACGUGUGGUGUUUUGUAUGUACCUUUCGAAUAAGGAUCGGCUAACUCCGUGCCAGCAGCCGCGGUAAUACGGAGGAUCCGAGCGUUAUCCGGAUUUAUUGGGUUUAAAGGGUGCGUAGGCGGACUAUUAAGUCAGCUGUGAAAGUUUACGGCUCAACCGUGAAAUUGCAGUUGAAACUGAUAGUCUUGAGUAUACAUGAGGUGAGCGGAAUUUGUGGUGUAGCGGUGAAAUGCUUAGAUAUCACAAGGAACUCCAAUUGCGAAGGCAGCUCACUGGGGUAUAACUGACGCUGAGGCACGAAGGUGCGGGUAUCAAACAGGAUUAGAAACCCUAGUAGUCC
rnacentral:rRNA from 1 species